CCUACGGGUUGCAGCAGUGGGGAAUAUUGCACAAUGGGCGCAAUCCUGAUGCAGCCAUGCCGCGUGAGUGAAGAAGGCCUUCGGGUUGUAAAGCACUUUCAGCGAGGAGGAAGGUGGUGAGCUUAAUACGCUCAUCAAUUGACGUUACUCGCAGAAGGAGCACCGGCUAACUCCGCGCCAGCAGCCGCGGUAAUACGGAGGGUGCAAGCGUUAAUCGGAAUUACUGGGCGUAAAGCGCACGCAGGCGGUUUGUUAAGUCAGAUGUGAAAUCCCCGGGCUCAACCUGGGAACUGCAUUCGAAACUGGCAGGCUAGAGUCUUGUAGAGGGGGGUAGAAUUCCAGGUGUAGCGGUGAAAUGCGUAGAGAUCUGGAGGAAUACCGGUGGCGAAGGCGGCCCCCUGGACAAAGACUGACGCUCAGGUGCGAAAGCGUGGGGAGCAAGCAGGAUUAGAUACCCGCGUAGUC
rnacentral:rRNA from 1 species